rnacentral:rRNA from 1 species
GACGAACGCUGGCGGCGUGCUUAACACAUGCAAGUCGAACGGAAAGGCCCUGCUUUUGCGUGGUGCUCGAGUGGCGAACGGGUGAGUAACCCGUGAGUAACCUGCCUUUGGCUGUGUGAUAACUUCAGGAAACUGGGGCUAAUACCUGCGAGCUGCUCCUGCUGCAUGGUGGGGGUUGGAAAGUUUCGGCGGUAGUGGAUGGACUGCCGGCUUAUCAGCUGGUGGGGUGGGUAGUGGCUUACCAAGGCUUCGGCGGAUCGCCGGCAUGGGAGCUGAGCCGGCGACCUGGGGCCUGCGCUACGGACCAGACUGCUACGGGGGGCAGCGGGGGAGAGUAUUGCCCAAUGGGCGGAAGCGUGAGGCAGAAGCGCCGCGUGCGGGAUGACGGCCAUCGGGUUGUAAACCGCAGUAGGCUGUGACGAAGCGUGAGUGACGGUAAUGGGUAAAGAAGCACCGGCUAACUACGUG